rnacentral:rRNA from 1 species
GACGUAGGGCGCGAGCGUUGUCCGGAUUUAUUGGGCGUAAAGAGCUCGUAGGCGGCUUGUCGCGUCGUCCGUGAAAACCUGCAGCUCAACUGCAGGCUUGCGGUCGAUACGGGCAGGCUAGAGUUCGGUAGGGGAGACUGGAAUUCCUGGUGUAGCGGUGAAAUGCGCAGAUAUCAGGAGGAACACCGGUGGCGAAGACGGGUCUCUGGGCCGAUACUGACGCUGAGGAGCGAAAGCGUGGGGAGCGAACAGG